rnacentral:rRNA from 1 species
UGAGUAACCUGCCCUGGACUUUGGGAUAACCCUCGGAAACGGGGGCUAAUACCGGAUAUGACGGCUCACCGCAUGGUGUGGUUGUGGAAAGUUUUUCGGUCUGGGAUGGGCCCGCGGCCUAUCAGCUUGUUGGCGAGGUAACGGCCCACCAAGGCGACGACGGGUAGCCGGCCUGAGAGGGUGACCGGCCACACUGGGACUGAGACACGGCCCAGACUCCUACGGGAGGCA